UACGAAGGGGGCUAGCGUUGCUCGGAAUUACUGGGCGUAAAGUGUGCGCAGGCGGCGUUGCACGUCGGGUGUGAAAUCCCCGAGCUUAACUUGGGAAUUGCGCUCGAAACUACGAUGCUCGAGUAUGGCAGAGGAAGGUGGAAUUCCACGUGUAGCGGUGAAAUGCGUAGAGAUGUGGAGGAACACCGAGGGCGAAGGCAGCCUUCGGGGCCAAUACUGACGCUGAGACGCGAAAGCGUGGGGAGCAAACAGG
rnacentral:rRNA from 1 species